rnacentral:rRNA from 1 species
AGAGUUUGAUCAUGGCUCAGAACGAACGCUGGCGGCAGGCUUAACACAUGCAAGUCGAACGGUUGCAGCAAUGCAGCAGUGGCAGACGGGUGAGUAACACGUGGGAACCUUCCUAGGGGUACGGAACAACUCAGGGAAACUUGAGCUAAUACCGUAUACGUCCGUGAGGAGAAAGAUUUAUCGCCCUUAGACGGGCCCGCGUCGGAUUAGCUAGUUGGUGGGGUAACGGCCUACCAAGGCGACGAUCCGUAGCUGAUCUUAGAGGAUGAUCAGCCACACUGGGACUGAGACACGGCCCAGACUCCUACGGGAGGCAGCAGUGGGGAAUCUUGGACAAUGGGCGCAAGCCUGAUCCAGCCAUGCCGCGUGAGUGAAGAAGGUCUUCGGAUUGUAAAGCUCUUUUGCCAGGGACGAUAAUGACGGUACCUGGAGAAUAAGCACCGGCUAACUCCGUGCCAGCAGCCGCGGUAAUACGGAGGGUGCGAGCGUUAAUCGGAAUUACUGGGCGUAAAGCGCGCGUAGGCGG